rnacentral:rRNA from 1 species
UACGUAGGGGGCGAGCGUUGUCCGGAUUUAUUGGGCGUAAAGAGCGUGUAGGCGGCUUGGCAAGUCCGCUGUGAAAACUCGAGGCUCAACCUCGAGACGUCGGUGGAAACUGCCUGGCUAGAGUCCGGAAGAGGAGAGUGGAAUUCCUGGUGUAGCGGUGAAAUGCGCAGAUAUCAGGAAGAACACCUAUGGCGAAGGCAGCUCUCUGGGACGGUACUGACGCUGAGACGCGAAAGCGUGGGGAGCGAACAGG